rnacentral:lncRNA from 1 species
AUUUUUACAAUUUAGUCCUUAUUUCAUAAAAUCACAAAUUCAUGCAAUUCAACCAAAACCCAUGGCAGCCGAAUUUCAAUUAGGUCCCUAGCAGCCCAUAUUUUUCAUUUAUUUCACAAUUUAACCAUUAAUUUUACGCAUUUCACAAUUUAAUCCCUAUUUGAACAUUUUACUAGAAAUCACCUAACAAAUGUUGUUUAUUUAACAACAAACAUGCAUUUUCUAUCAUUAAGCAUCAAAACACGCCAACAUUAAUCAAUGGAAAAACCCUAAAC